AUUGUUGAUGUUAUUUGAACAGACCUGUCGCUGUGUCAGUCUGAAUGGGAGAUUAGAGACCGACACAUGUUUGUUGCUGCUCCAUGUUCUCUGCAACAUUGUGUGUAGUUACUGCAGCUGUGUGUGCAUUCUGCUGGCAGGAGCAGGAAACAAGUGAAAGAAAACUGGCGAGCACCCUGGAAGGAAAACUUAAUCAGACAAAACAAGUUAAAACGGUUUGCAAGUUUCAAGCCAAACUGCUGAAUCUACCGUCCAGAGCUGGGAUGCUCGUCUUCUGAUGGAGCGCUCUCGAGCUGUGAUGGGUCCAGAUAUCAGCGCUCACCUGGCUGGUACCAAGAAGGUUCAGCAAGUGCUCGCCAGACCUGGAGUCCUGGAGAGGUUCUUCCUGGACCAGCCUCAAGCUGUGCAGCAGAUCUGAGCGACAUUGGCUGACCUCUACACUCCAGACAUGGGUGCAGAGAGGGACAAAACAGUAUCAAUGGCCUUGGCAGCAGCAGAACGGUUGGUCUUGAAGCCUCAGCGAGAAGGAGGAGGUACAGCGGGGGGACAGACGCAUCUUUAAAAAUGUUGACAAUGCAGCAAAUGCUGAAACUUCUGUUUAUUGCUCACCAUUUGCAGCUUUAAUGGCUUCCAUUUGUCAGCCAAGGUUUUUCCUACAAGAUUUUUUUUAACAUGUCUGUGGAUUUUUUCUGUUUUUUGUGCCCAUUCAUCCAGAAGAGCAUUUGUUAGGUCAAACACCGAUGUUGGACGUUUACAAUCUCCAUUCUGGUUCAUCACAAUGGUGCUCUAGGAGUUAAGAUCAGGGCUCAAAGCAAGCCACUCUGCUUCUAUGCCAGACACAUUCAAUCAUGUCUUUAUGGACCAUGUUUGUGCAUUAGGUCACAGUCGUGUUGGAAGGGAAAAAGACCCUCCCUAAACUGUUCUCACAAUGUUUUAAGCACAAAGUGGUCCAAAAUGUCUUGGUAACCUGAAGCGUUAAGAUUUCCUUUCACUGGAACCACAAGACCCAGGCCAAAGUCAGAGGAGAAAUAAAUGAAUACUAUUCAAAACGUUUAGCUUUCAACUCCUAAAACCGAUGCAGGUUAAACCUCUGUUUAAUACUAACCUAAAAUUCUGGAACAUAGACCAAAUGACAUCAAAAAUAUCAUUUCAGCGACACACGUGACAAACUGUGCCAGUCAACGGGCAUAGUUGUAGUUCUUCAAGGUUUGUGAGGGCAUUUGGAUUCAUUUCCGGUUGUCAGCUGUAGGAAGGCCUUAUAAUGCUCUAAUUAGCUUCAUUGUGUGGCUAGACAACAAUAACAACAGGAAAGUAAUCGUUAUAUAACUUUUAUUGUGAAGAACAUAUGGCUAUGGAUACUGCUGACUAAUAGUAGUAAUAGUAAUUGACAGCUUCCAGUCAGUGGGUCCUUUCUUCUCUGAUGCGUACAUCUUCAAGCGCCAUAACCAAGGUUCUAUAUUAAAAUGGUGGCUUUUCAUUGGUGUUAACUUUAGACAUCACAUUUAUAAGGCUCUUUAAAAACGUCAUUUAUUAAACUUUUCUCUUACCUGAAAUAAACAGGCUGUCUUGAUUCAAUGCAGAUUAUCACAAAUUUCACACAGUGUAUCAAUAUUCUA